AGCGAACGCUGGCGGCAGGCCUAACACAUGCAAGUCGAACGAACUCUUCGGAGUUAGUGGCGGACGGGUGAGUAACACGUGGGAACGUGCCUUUAGGUUCGGAAUAACUCAGGGAAACUUGUGCUAAUACCGAAUGUGCCCUUCGGGGGAAAGAUUUAUCGCCUUUAGAGCGGCCCGCGUCUGAUUAGCUAGUUGGUGAGGUAACGGCUCACCGAGGCGACGAUCAGUAGCUGGUCUGAGAGGAUGACCAGCCACACUGGGACUGAGACACGGCCCAGACUCCUACGGGAGGCAGCAGUGGGGAAUCUUGCGCAAUGGGCGAAAGCCUGACGCAGCCAUGCCGCGUGAAUGAUGAAGGUCUUAGGAUUGUAAAAUUCCUUCACCGGGGACGAUAAUGACGGUACCCGGAGAAGAAGCCCCGGCUAACUUCGUGCCAGCCGCCGCCGUAACAC
rnacentral:rRNA from 1 species